rnacentral:rRNA from 1 species
CGUACGGGUGCGUAACGCGUAUACAAUCUGCCUUUCACAUAGGGAUAGCCGAAGAAAUUUGGAUUAAUACCUAAUGGUAUAUAGGGAUAGGCAUCAUUUUUAUAUUAAAGCUGAGGCGGUGAAAGAUGAGUAUGCGUUCUAUUAGCUAGUUGGAGAGGUAACGGCUCCCCAAGGCUACGAUAGAUAGGGGUUCUGAGAGGGAUAUCCCCCACACUGGUACUGAGAUACGGACCAG